UUGCAAUGAAGAUUAUGACGCUAAUUGUGAUCUGGGUCGAUCACAACCGUCCGAUAUGCAGACGAAUCCAUUAGCGUAUCAGAGCAA